AGUUGUCAUAAAAAAGAAAGAUCCUUCUCCUUCGUUUUCAGUGAACGAACGCAAACAGAUUAUAGCACUUGUGUAAAGCAAAGAACGACGUCUCUGAACUACUUUCUUUCCUCAUUUCCUCUCCUAUAAUUCUAUAAACCCAUUCUCUGCGAACAACCCACGAGCAAUCAUCUCUCAAUUCUUGAUUUUCCGCUCAGAUUUAGCAUUUCUACUUGGGAAUGCGAUGCGAUUAUUGAAGAGGAUCGCGGGAUUUCUUGGGUUUGUUA
rnacentral:misc_RNA from 1 species